GAUGAACGCUGGCGGCAUGCCUAACACAUGCAAGUCGAACGGCAGCAUGAGUGGAGCUUGCUCUACUUGAUGGCGAGUGGCGGACGGGUGAGUAAUAUGUAGGAAUCUACCUAGAGGAGCGGGAUAACUUAGGGAAACUUAAGCUAAUACCACAUAAUCCCCACGGGGGAAAGCAGGGGAUCUUCGGACCUUGCGCCUUAUGAUGAGCCUACAUCGGAUUAGCUAGUUGGCGGGGGAAAGGCCUACCAAGGCGACGAUCCUUAGCUGGUCUGAGAGGAUGACAAGCCACACUGGGACUGAGACACGGCCCAGACUCCUACGGGAGGAAGCAGUGGGGAAUAUUGGACAAUGGGCGAAAGCCUGAUCCAGCAAUGCCGCGUGUGUGAAGAAGGCCUUAGGGUUGUAAAGCACUUUCAGUGGGGAGGAAGUUGUAGAUGCUAAUAUCAUUUGCAAUUGACGUUACCCACAGAAGAAGCACCGGCUAACUCUGUGCCAGCAGCCGCCGUAAUAC
rnacentral:rRNA from 1 species